rnacentral:rRNA from 1 species
UACGUAGGGUGCGAGCGUUGUCCGGAAUUACUGGGCGUAAAGAGCUCGUAGGCGGUUUGUCGCGUCGUCCGUGAAAACUUGGGGCUCAACCCCAAGCUUGCGGGCGAUACGGGCAGACUUGAGUACGGCAGGGGAGACUGGAAUUCCUGGUGUAGCGGUGAAAUGCGCAGAUAUCAGGAGGAACACCGGUGGCGAAGGCGGGUCUCUGGGCAGUAACUGACGCUGAGGAGCGAAAGCGUGGGUAGCAAACAGG